rnacentral:misc_RNA from 1 species
CCGAGCUAGGGUCUACCUCUAGGCCCGACCUCCUCACCUCUGUUUACCUGACCUCACGUUGCUUCGGCGGGCCCGUCCCCUUAACCAGGCGACCGCCGGGAGGGCUCACCCCUUCUGGCCCGUUGCCCGCCGAUGGCCCUCAACCAAAACACUCUUAAACUGUGGAAUUUAGUCUGAAUCUUGUUUCUAAAAUAACCAA